rnacentral:rRNA from 1 species
GGGGAACUGAAACAUCUAAGUACCCCGAGGAAAAGAAAUCAACCGAGAUUCCCCCAGUAGCGGCGAGCGAACGGGGAGGAGCCCAGAGCCUGAAUCAGCAUGUGUGUUAGUGGAAGCGUCUGGAAAGGCGCGCGAUACAGGGUGACAGCCCCGUACACAAAAGCGCAUGUGCUGUGAGCUCGAUGAGUAGGGCGGGACACGUGGUAUCC